rnacentral:rRNA from 1 species
AGCUAAAAACUUAGCCUUACCCUACAAUUAUAUUUACCCUAUUUUACUUACACAAAAUAAAACAUUCUUUAAGCUUAGUAAAGGAGAUAAAAAAGUUUUUUAGAGCUAUAAAAUAAGUACCGCAAGGGAAAAAUGAAAUAAAAAUGAAACAAAAUUCAAGCAUAAUAUAGUAGAGCUUUCCCCUCGUACCUUUUGCAUCAUGAUUCAACUAGUUUAACCACGCAAAAAGAAUUUAAGUUUGACUUCCCGAAACUAAGUGAGCUACUUCAGGGCAGCUAAAUGAGCCAACCCGUCUCUGUUGCAAAAGAGUGGGAUGACCCUUAAGUAGAGGUGAUAAACCUAACGAACUUAGUAAUAGCUGGUUAUUCAGGAAAAGAAUUUUAGUUCAACUUAAAAUUACAUAAAUAAAAUAAAAUAAAAUUUUAAUUUUAAAGCAAUUCAAAUAAGGUACAGCCUAUUUGAAAUAGAACACAAUCUAAACUAUAGGGUAAAUAUAAAAAAUUAAUGUAAUAAAGUAGGCCUAAAAGCAGCCAACUUUAAAAUAGCGUCAAAGCUUACUUCCAUAAUUUUUUAAUACUAUUAUUUACAAUGAACCCUUUAUUUUUACUGAAUAUUUCUAUAAAGUUAUAGAACCUUUUAUGUUGAAACUAGUAACAAGAAGUUAAACUUCUCCUCAAUAUAAGUAUAAGUCGACUAGGAUAAACCAUCGACAAUUAACGCUUAAAUUAAAUGUAUUAACUCCACAAGAAAAACUUACAUUAUCCCACGUUAAUCUUACACCAGAAUAUUUAAGGAAAGAUUUAAAAAAAAGGAAGGAACUCGGCAAACAUUAACCCCGCCUGUUUACCAAAAACAUCGCCUUCUGAUAUAUUAUAGAAGGUCCAGCCUGCCCAGUGAAUUAAUUUAACGGCCGCGGUAUCCUAACCGUGCGAAGGUAGCGUAAUCACUUGUUCUUUAAAUGAGGACUAGUAUGAAUGGCACCACGAAGGUUAUACUGUCUCCCUUUUUUGAUCAGUUAAACUAAUCUUCACGUGAAGAAGCGUGAAUAAACAUAUAAGACGAGAAGACCCUAUGGAGCUUAAAAUUAUACAACAAUUGUUAAAAAAUCCUAAAUUUUAUGAAUAAUUUUUUACUAAACACCAUGAUUGCUAAUUUUUGGUUGGGGUGACCGCGGAGUAAAAAUUAACCUCCACAAUGAAAGAAAUCAAUAUUCUAAACUAAGAGCUACAACUCAAAGUAUUAAUAUUUUAACAUUCUUUGAUCCAAUAUUUGAUCAACGAACAAAGUUACCCUAGGGAUAACAGCGCAAUCUACUUUGAGAGCUCCUAUCGACAAGUAGGUUUACGACCUCGAUGUUGGAUCAGGGUAUCCUAGUGGUGCA